rnacentral:rRNA from 1 species
UGAAACCGUUUAGGGGUAAACCUGAGAAACCCGAAAGGUCGAAGGGAGAAAUUCAUUCGUGCCCGAUAAGGUUAUCGUGCGGUAUGUGUGUCAGAGAGUGGACUUGUUCACUUUUUGCUAUACCGUAUCGAUAUGUGUACCUUGUUGGACGCGUGCACUUUUCCUCUGGUAGGACGUUGCGAUCCGUUGGGUGUUGAUUUACGGUUUGAAUGGUAGCCCAUUCUCGUUUGGCUUUCGGGUCAUGUCUUGAAUGGACCUUCGAUACCUGAUCAACUGGCUCGACGGUAUAUUGAAUGGUUUUGGGACGCUUUUAAAGCGUUCGGCUUGUGGCAAGCACGUCAAAUGUUUCAGUGCAUCGGACCUAGUGCCGUGUCUGAUCCUUGGCGUCUGUUGGCUACUUUGUCUCGGACAGUUCCUAAUUAGAAACCGAUCAGCAACGAUAUAGCUUUGGGUACUUUCAGGACCCGUCUUGAAACACGGACCAAGGAGUCUAGCAUGUACGCAAGUCAUUGGGAAUCACAAAACCUAAAGGCGCAAUGAAAGUAAACGUUUUCCUUUACGGUUAACGAUGGGAGGACGGGCGUUUUGAACUCUAACCAGUUGACGCGUUCAGCACUCCCGGGGCGUCUCGUUCUCAUCGCGAGAAGAGGCGCACCAAGAGCGUACACGCUGGGACCCGAAAGAUGGUGAACUAUGCCUGGUCAGGACGAA